rnacentral:rRNA from 1 species
CCUACGGUGGGCAGCAGUAGGGAAUAUUGCUCAAUGGGGGCAACCCUGAAGCAGCAACGCCGCGUGGAGGAUGAAGGUUUUCGGAUUGUAAACUCCUUUUGUUAGAGAAGAUAAUUACGGUAUCUAACGAAUAAGCACCGACUAACUCCGUUCCAGCCGCCGCGGUAAUACGGAGGGUGCAAGCGUUACUCGGAAUCACUGGGCGUAAAGGGCGCGUAGGCGGGAUAGCAAGUCAGAUGUGAAAUCCUAUGGCUUAACCAUAGAACUGCAUUUGAAACUGUUAUUCUAGAGUAUGGGAGAGGUAGGUGGAAUUCUUGGUGUAGGGGUAAAAUCCGUAGAGAUCAAGAGGAAUACUCAUUGCGAAGGCGACCUGCUAGAACAUAACUGACGCUGAUGCGCGAAAGCGUGGGGAGCAAACAGGAUUAGAUACCCUGGUAGUC